rfam:Citrobacter koseri ATCC BAA-895 plasmid pCKO3, complete sequence.
CAGAUUUGGUUGCUGUGCUCUGCGAAAGCCAGUUACCACGGUUAAGCAGUUCCCCAACUGACUUAACCUUCGAUCAAACCACCUCCCCAGGUGGUUUUUUCGU